rnacentral:rRNA from 1 species
UAGAGUUUGAUCCUGGCUCAGAAUGAACGCUGGCGGCGUGCCUAACACAUGCAAGUCGUACGAGAAAAUGUUCCUUCGGGAGCAUGAGUAAAGUGGCGCACGGGUGAGUAACGCGUGGGUAACCUGCCCUUACGUCCGGAAUAACUUCCCGAAAGGGGGGCUAAUACUGGAUAAGACCACGGGGGCUUCGGCCCUAGAGGUAAAAGGUGGCCUCUACAUGUAAGCUACCGCGUGAGGAUGGGCCCGCGUCCUAUUAGCUUGUUGGUGGGGUAAUGGCUCACCAAGGCUACGAUAGGUAGCUGGUCUGAGAGGAUGAUCAGCCACACUGGAACUGGAACACGGUCCAGACUCCUACGGGAGGCAGCAGUGAGGAAUUUUGCGCAAUGGGGGCAACCCUGACGCAGCAACGCCGCGUGAGUGGAGAAGGCCUUCGGGUCGUAAAGCUCUGUCAAGCGGGAAGAACCUCUCUCCGGUCAAUAUCCGGAGAGACUGACGGUACCGCUGGAGGAAGCACCGGCUAACUCCGUGCCAGCAGCCGCGGUAAUA